UUUUUUUAACCUCUGAAUUUUUAUACUGAAUUUUUUUAACCUCUGAAUUUUUAUUCUGAAUUUUUUAAACCUCUGAAUUUUUAUUCUGAAUUUUUUUUAACGGAAGUGAACACAUAGCAGCAUUUUAUAUUCCUUGGAAUAUAUUUCUAUUAAUUUAUAUAUUUAAUUUAUAUAUUGCAGGUUGUCUCAGCUUGGGCCAUCCUCCACAAUAUCUGCUCCUGUGCUGACGACACCGAGGCCCCAGAGGAUGAUGUGGAGGUGAUGAUGAGGAGGAAGCUGGUUUGAAGGUCACCAGUGGUGCUCUCUGGCAGGACCAACUACCUGCUGAGGUUUCUGCCCUGGGGGAGGUACCACCUGACCUGAUUACUUUUAACAGCAUCCGUCCACAGCCAACCCUGUAAACCCUGAAGAUGGACGAUGCAGUCUACAGUGAAGAUGCAUCCUGAAACUCUGCAGACCAUCCUGCAAGAUGUUCCAAUCACCACCCAGAAAGUCUCAGUUGAAGCAUCUCAUCCAUGUCGACCAUCUUUGUAAAUAGUGUUACAAUGAAUGACGAUUACUGUGCUGGAUUUAUACCUUUAUUUAUAUUAAAAAAGCAAACAUUUUAAUACUUUAAAUAGAAACUUCAUUUAUUGUCAGAAAUCAAAUGUGGUUAUUUGUUGGCAUUUUUUUCCAGGAGACUAUAAAGUUGGUCAAAAGUCUCCCUCCUCUCUCGUGCCCUCUGCUCUUCUGCCUCAUGUCCUCUCUGAUCAGGUCUAGAAGCUCAUCAAAGUCGCAUUUACAUUAACUCUGAAAUUUUGCAAAUUGGAAUUUUGAUACAUUCUCCUAAUGGAAACACCACAAUUCCGAAAAAAAAAA